rnacentral:rRNA from 1 species
GCCUCAACUGACGCUAAAGCUCGAAGGUGCGGGUAUCGAACAGGAUUAGAUACCCUGGUAGUCCGCACGGUAAACGAUGGAUGCCCGCUGUUUGCGAUAUAGUGUAAGCGGCCAAGCGAAAGCGUUAAGCAUCCCACCUGGGGAGUACGCCGGCAACGGUGAAACUCAAAGGAAUUGACGGGGGCCCGCACAAGCGGAGGAACAUGUGGUUUAAUUCGAUGAUACGCGAGGAACCUUACCCGGGCUUGAACUGCAGGAGAACGAUCCAGAGAUGGUGAGGCCCUUCGGGGCUCCUGUGGAGGUGCUGCAUGGUUGUCGUCAGCUCGUGCCGUGAGGUGUCGGCUUAAGUGCCAUAACGAGCGCAACCCCUGUCGCCAGUUGCCAUCACUUCGGGUGGGCACUCUGGGGAUACUGCCACCGUAAGGUGUGAGGAAGGUGGGGAUGACGUCAAAUCAGCACGGCCCUUACGUCCGGGGCUACACACGUGUUACAAUGGGGUAUACAGAGAGCCGGAUGCAUGCAAAUGCGUUCCAAUCAUGAAAGUGCCCCUCAGUUCGGAUUGGGGUCUGCAACCCGACCCCAUGAAGCUGGAUUCGCUAG